GAAGCCUCUUUGUUCCAAUUUGUUCUAUAGACCAUGAAGAAAAGGGCAACAGUCUGUACUACAGUCCCUGACAACAUUCCAUACCAAAUCCCACGAACACCCAUUUCAAGUUUAUAACCCAUUAUAAGACCCAGAGGAAUCCCAAACACAUAGUAACAAGCUAUGUUCACAUAAGCCACAAUUGCUUGCCAUCCUGCUCCAAUAGCCACACCAGANNNNNNAAGAACAGGCUGAAUAUUGUUAAUGACGAUGCAGAGAGCAAGGACUGGUGUUAGAUCGUUGAC
rnacentral:misc_RNA from 1 species